CAGCCGCCGCGGGAAUACGAAGGGGGCUAGCGUUGUUCGGAUUUACUGGGCGUAAAGCGCACGUAGGCGGACUUUUAAGUCAGGGGUGAAAUCCCGGGGCUCAACCCCGGAACUGCCUUUGAUACUGGAAGUCUUGAGUAUGGUAGAGGUGAGUGGAAUUCCGAGUGUAGAGGUGAAAUUCGUAGAUAUUCGGAGGAACACCAGUGGCGAAGGCGGCUCACUGGACCAUUACUGACGCUGAGGUGCGAAAGCGUGGGGAGCAAACAGGAUUAGAUACCCCUGUAGUCCCUGUCUCUUAUAC
rnacentral:rRNA from 1 species